GAUGAACGCUGGCGGCGUGCUUAACACAUGCAAGUCGAACGAAGCACUUUAUUUGAUUUCCUUCGGGACUGAUUAUUUUGUGACUGAGUGGCGGACAGGUGAGUAACGCGUGGGUAACCUGCCUUGUACAGGGGGAUAACAGUUGGAAACGGCUGCUAAUACCGCAUAAGCGCACAGCAUCGCAUGAUGCAGUGUGAAAAACUCCGGUGGUAUAAGAUGGACCCGCGUUGGAUUAGCUAGUUGGUGAGGUAACGGCCCACCAAGGCGACGAUCCAUAGCCGACCUGAGAGGGUGACCGGCCACAUUGGGACUGAGACACGGCCCAAACUCCUACGGGAGGCAGCAGUGGGGAAUAUUGCACAAUGGGCGAAAGCCUGAUGCAGCGACGCCGCGUGAGCGAAGAAGUAUUUCGGUAUGUAAAGCUCUAUCAGCAGGGAAGAUAAUGACGGU
rnacentral:rRNA from 1 species